UACGUAGGGUGCAAGCGUUGUCCGGAAUUAUUGGGCGUAAAGAGCUUGUAGGCGGUUUGUCGCGUCUGCCGUGAAAAUUCGAGGCUCAACCUCGAACUUGCGGUGGGUACGGGCAGACUAGAGUGUGGUAGGGGAGACUGGAAUUCCUGGUGUAGCGGUGAAAUGCGCAGAUAUCAGGAGGAACACCGAUGGCGAAGGCAGGUCUUUGGGCCACUACUGACGCUGAGAAGCGAAAGCAUGGGGAGCGAACAGG
rnacentral:rRNA from 1 species